rnacentral:rRNA from 1 species
CGAGAAAGCCCGCAAGGGUGAGUAAAGCGGCGUACGGGUGCGUAACACGUGGGUAAUCUGCCCUAGAGUCCGGAAUAACUCGCCGAAAGGCGUGCUAAUGCCGGAUGAGACCACGGGAGCCUCGGCUCCUGCGGGAAAAGGUGGCCUCUGUAUACAAGCUAUCGCUCUAGGAUGAGCCCGCGGCCCAUCAGCUCGUUGGCGGGGUAAUGGCCCACCAAGGCUACGACGGGUAGCUGGUCUGAGAGGACGAUCAGCCACACUGGAACUGAGACACGGUCCAGACUCCUACGGGAGGCAGCAGUGGGGAAUCUUGCGCAAUGGGCGAAAGCCUGACGCAGCAACGCCGCGUGUGUGAUGAAGGUCUUCGGAUCGUAAAGCACUGUCGCGAGGGACG